AUGCUUCCCCAUAGUCUCCCCUGUGCGCUGGCAGUCUUGGGUUUCUCCGGACCCUAUGAAGGACAGAAAUUAACUCAGGUCCAACCAGCACAAGCAGGAAGAAGGGGGAAGAAGUUGCCCUGGGCUGUUCAUAUGAGGCAAAGCAGAACUUAGAACAUGUUCACAGGUAUAAUCAUUUUAGCUUCACGACUGGAAAAUUCAAUGAAUUAUUUUUGUGCUUUCUGGGA